UACGAAGGGGGCUAGCGUUGCUCGGAAUUACUGGGCGUAAAGCGCACGUAGGCGGCUUUCUAAGUCGGGGGUGAAAUCCUGGAGCUCAACUCCAGAACUGCCUUCGAUACUGGAAAGCUCGAGUCCUGGAGAGGAAGGUGGAAUGCUUGGUGUAGAGGUGAAAUUCGUAGAUAUCAAGCGGAACACCGGUGGCGAAGGCGGCCUUCUGGACAGUGACUGACGCUGAGACGCGAAAGCGUGGGGAGCAAACAGG
rnacentral:rRNA from 1 species